AGGAAGACAGUGGUAGGGGCAGCGGUAAUCAGGAUGACCCAAGCGUUAUCCGGUUUGAUUGGGAGUAAGGCGAGCGAAAGCGGGUGUUGAAGGCUGAUGUGAAAGCCUACGGUGCAACCGUAGAACUGCAUCGGAAACUGGAUGACUUGAGUGCAGUAGAGGGGAGUGGAACUCCAUGUGUAGCGGUGAAAUGCGUAGAUAUAUGGAAGAACACCAGGGGCGAAGGCGGCUCUCUGAACUGUAACUGACGCGGAAGCUCGAAAGUGUGGGUAGCAAACAGGAUUAGAUACCCGAGUAGUC
rnacentral:rRNA from 1 species